rfam:Picea glauca, whole genome shotgun sequence.
UCAAAGGAUUUUCUGAAAUCCACAAAGCAACAAAAAAUUUCUU